rnacentral:pre_miRNA from 1 species
AAAAAAACAAAUCCUGAGUUUCCGUAUCUAACGUUUAACUGUCCGUCUUAUAUGAAUUUUUUUAUAAUUAGUAUUUUUAUUGUUGUUAAAUGAUAAAAUAUGAUUAAUACUUUAUGCGUGACUUGUCUUUUUAAUUUUUUUUCAUAAUUUUUUGAAAUAAGACGGACGGUCAAACGUUGGACACGGAAACCCAGGGUUUGUCUUUUU